UACAGAGGGGGCAAGCGUUGUUCGGAAUUACUGGGCGUAAAGCGUGCGCAGGCGGUUCUGUAAGUCAGAUGUGAAAUCCCCGGGCUCAACCUGGGAACUGCGUUUGAAACUACAGGGCUAGAGUAUGGGAGAGGGAGGUAGAAUUCCACGUGUAGCAGUGAAAUGCGUAGAGAUGUGGAGGAAUACCAAUGGCGAAGGCAGCCUCCUGGCCUAAUACUGACGCUCAUGCACGAAAGCGUGGGGAGCAAACAGG
rnacentral:rRNA from 1 species